AUGCUUCCCUCCUCAGAGAAUCAGCAUGAAAACAACAAAAGGAACCCCACAGAUUUUUUUCCUUUGUGCAGCAAUUUUUCUAAAAUGCAUGAACAGAAUGAAUGCCACCAUUUUCUCUCUCUCGUAUGUGUGUGUGUGUGCGUGUUGUUUUGUGUUUUAUGUGUUGUGUGUGCAUGUUUUGUGUUUGUGUGUGCAUGUUUUGUGUGUUGUGUGCACGUGUUUUAUGUGUGUGUGUGUUGCAUGUGUGUGUUGUAUGUGUGUGUUGUGUGUGUGUGUGGUGUCUACGCUCACUGGGGUUUCUGGGUUGCUGGCUUCGCCAGGGUGUGGCCUUGGGAUACAAGAGCUAGAGUGAAAGCUCAGGGAACUCCCUGGUGUGUUGUUCCUCAAGUUCCCUUGCUGAUCUGUCUUCUCUUUACCAUUCAGUCUUCUCAGGUUUGCCGUGCUUAG
rnacentral:lncRNA from 13 species